rnacentral:rRNA from 1 species
UGCGUAGGCGGCGCUGCAAGUCAGAUGUGAAAUCCCCGGGCUUAACCCGGGAUCUGCAUUUGAAACUGCAGUGCUUGAGUGCAGGAGAGGAAAGCGGAAUUCCUAGUGUAGCGGUGAAAUGCGUAGAUAUUAGGAAGAACACCAGUGGCGAAGGCGGCUUUCUGGACUGUUACUGACGCUGAGGCACGAAAGCGUGGGGAGCAAACA